rnacentral:lncRNA from 1 species
CCUGGGGCAACUAUGGCAAGAGCUACUCUGUGGCUUUGUACCUGGUGCGACAGCUGACCUCCUCAGACCUGCUACAGAGGUUGAAGACGAUUGGGGUGAAGCAUCCUGAGCUCUGCAAGGCUCUGGGUGAGUGGAAGGGCCUCCAGGCCUUGCUGUGCCUGCUGGGACCUCCUGCUAGGGUGUGCAGUGACAGAUGUGGGGAAAGACGCAAGGCCAGGCUGGGGUCCAGCUCCUGGCCCUUGCCGUGGGGUUUUAGGCCCUGGUCUGUGGGCACAGAGCAUGAUGAGCAGCAGGACGGUGGGACACAGGUGAUGGCAUUGUUCUUUUGAGACAGGGGUCUCUGUAUAGUAGCCCCGGCUGUCCUGCAACUUGCUCUCUAGACCAGGCUAGCCUCAGACUCAGAGAUCUGCCUGCCUCUGCCUCCCAAGUGCUGAAAUUGAAGGAGUCUGUCAGCAUCGCCCAGCCAAGAUGGGUGUUUUUAAGUUGAGACAGACAGUGUAGUUCUGAAGACAUGGCCCCUGCAGAAGGCUUAAGAGCCCACACUGCCCACCCAACCUCCCUGGCUCUGGACCUCCCCAGUGGACAUUCCUUUGCAGGGCAGGCCUCAGCUGCCUUGGGGGCAUUCAGGCCUGUUGUUUCCCGUCUCAACUGGGGUUGGCCUGGCCAGGUUCCAGUCUGUUCUGAGGAGGGUGCUAUCAUGACCCCCUAGCUGGGAGGAGGGGGCCCAGGCCUGCUGGAGUUGUCCUACCUGAGCAAUUGAAGGCUUGCUUUGCAGGCCAAGGCUACCAGCUCUAUUGUUUGUUAACCAGGGUUGGGACAGCAAAGUCACAGGUGCACCCUGUGUGCAUGCGCCUGGUCAGUGUUCGACAGGUCACAAGGCUUAAGAAAAAGCUUUUGCUGGCCUGACGCUACAGGUUCUGUGCCAUCUCAGUGGUAUUCUCAGCUGACCCCUCAGGGCUGUGAUGUUGCCACAACAUAUCUGUAUGGCCUCA